ACCCAACCAAUAAUUGAAUAAUAUAAAUAAAUAAAGUAAGCCUGACACCAAAAACUAAACCAUUCUUUUACCUAAGUACGGGAGACAGAAAAGGUCCCACCAAAGCAAUAGAAACAGUACCGCAAGGGAAAGCUGAAAGAGAAAUGAAACAACCCAUACAAGCACAAAAAAGCAAAGAUUAAAUCUUGUACCUUUUGCAUCAUGAUUUAGCCAGCACACCCAAGCAAAGAGCCCUUCAGUUUGGAACCCCGAAACCAGGUGAGCUACCCCGAGACAGCCUAUUAUAGGGCCAACCCGUCUCUGUGGCAAAAGAGUGGGAAGAACUCCGGGUAGAAGUGACAGACCUACCGAACCUGGUGAUAGCUGGUUGCCUAAGAGAUGAAUAGAAGUUCAGCCUCGUACCCCUUCAACCAAAACACAAACAAGACACUAAAAGAGAUAUACGAGAGUUAGUUGAAGGGGGUACAGCCCCUUUAACAAAGGACACAACCUUUCCAGGAGGAUAAAGAUCAUAAUACACAAAACAUGCCGUUCUAGUGGACCUAAAAGCAGCCAUCUAAACAGAAAGCGUUAAAGCUCAGACAGAAAAAAGUUUAUUAUACCGACAAAAAAUCUUACUCCCCUAAUUACUACUAGGCCAACCCAUGCCCACAUGGAAGAGACUAUGCUAAAAUGAGUAACAAGAAGGCCCGCCCUUCUCCAAGCACAAGUGUAAGCCAAACCGGACCAACCAUUGGCAACCAACGAACUCAACCCCAGAGAGCAAUGCGAACUACAAAAAAAUCAAGAAAGCCCCGCAACUAAACCAUCGUUACCCCCACACUGGUGUGCACUAAAGGAAAGACUAAAAGAAAGGGAAGGAACUCGGCAAACACAGGCCUCGCCUGUUUACCAAAAACAUCGCCUCCUGCAACACAACCAAGUAUAGGAGGUCCAGCCUGCCCGGUGACAAGUUUAACGGCCGCGGUAUCCUGACCGUGCAAAGGUAGCGCAAUCACUUGUCUUUUAAAUAGAGACCCGUAUGAAUGGCUAAACGAGGGCUUAACUGUCUCCCCUUUCAAGUCAGUGAAAUUGAUCUACCCGUGCAGAAGC
rnacentral:rRNA from 1 species